rfam:Parastrongyloides trichosuri strain KNP genome assembly, scaffold: PTRK_scaffold0000094
UCUCUGGUAGUAUAGUGGUGAGUAUCCGCGCCUGUCACGUGCGAGACCGGGGUUCGAUUCCCCGCCAGAGAG